GCGCUGCAGGCGCAGGGGCCGAGGCGGAGGAGCUGCCGGUGUCGGAGUCAGCGAAAGGGCACCGGCGAGGAUGCAGAAACUGAAGCCUAGAGAAGUGAAGUGACAGGAAACCCUGUUGAGCUUCAGGCAGGGAAGAGCAACAGCAAAGCAAGGAGACUUGAAGCUAGCGAUCUGGGAGAGAGAUGCUGCUGACUUACAAAGUGGUUAACAGGGCGUGGUGUCUGGUUGUCAUGUUAAGCAGUUUAGAG